rnacentral:rRNA from 1 species
AUUGAACGCUGGCGGCAGGCCUAACACAUGCAAGUCGAGCGGAUGAAGGGAGCUUGCUCCUGGAUUCAGCGGCGGACGGGUGAGUAAUGCCUAGGAAUCUGCCUGGUAGUGGGGGAUAACGUCCGGAAACGGGCGCUAAUACCGCAUACGUCCUGAGGGAGAAAGUGGGGGAUCUUCGGACCUCACGCUAUCAGAUGAGCCUAGGUCGGAUUAGCUAGUUGGUGGGGUAAAGGCCUACCAAGGCGACGAUCCGUAACUGGUCUGAGAGGAUGAUCAGUCACACUGGAACUGAGACACGGUCCAGACUACUACGGGAGGCAGCAGUGGGGAAUAUUGGACAAUGGGCGAAAGCCUGAUCCAGCCAUGCCGAGUGUGUGAAGAAGGUCUUCGGAUUGUAAAGCACGUUAAGUUGGGAGGAAGGGCAGUAAGUUAAUACCUUGCUGUUUUGACGUUACCAACAGAAUAAGCACCGGCUAACUACGUG